GAAGUCGUUACUCUAACCCCUGUGGAGGAGGACGCCGAAGGUGGGGCUAAUGACUGGGGUGAAGUCGUAACAAGGUAGCCGUACCGGAAGGUGCGGCUGGAUCACCUCCUAACAGGGAGACAACAAAAUGUAAAUAUUAAUUUUGUCACCUUAGGUCGAUCGGUAUCUCAGAUUCUUAUUAUUUAAGAAUUUCAGUUUCUAAGUUUUUUCUAGGUCACACCCAUCACUUUUUCCUGGGCCAUUAGCUCAGGUGGUUAGAGCGCACCCCUGAUAAGGGUGAGGUCCCUGGUUCAAGUCCAGGAUGGCCCAUAUCUCUAUGUUGGGGGUAUAGCUCAGUUGGUAGAGCGCCUGCUUUGCAAGCAGGAUGUCAGCGGUUCGAGUCCGCUUACCUCCACUGAAUACCACCUCUUACAUAUAGUUGAAGUGGGAAAUUGUUUUGAGUCGUGUCCUAAUUUGCUCUGAGCGAAUCUAGCUUCCUAUUUUAUCCAAGAAAUAAGAUGCUGGGCUCAUUGAAUUUUUUUUCAUUGUUUUCAGAGAACCUUGGCAACUGCAUAGAUUAUUUUUAAAGACAAUAAGCAUCUUUAAUGAUGCAGAUUUAUUAUUUGUGCGAAUGCAUUAAAUAACGAUUCUAUUAAGCUGAUGCUUCAAUUAUUGAAGUUAUUGGUCAAGCUACAAAGGGCUCACGGAGGAUACCUAGGCACACAGAGGCGAUGAA
rnacentral:misc_RNA from 1 species